rnacentral:rRNA from 1 species
CUUAAAUGAAUUGACGGGGGCCCGCACAAGCGGUGGAGCAUGUGGUUUAAUUCGAAGCAACGCGAAGAACCUUACCAGGUCUUGACAUACUCGUGCUAUUCCUAGAGAUAGGAAGCUCCUUCGGGACACGGGAUACAGGUGGUGCAUGGUUGUCGUCAGCUCGUGUCGUGAGAUGUUGGGUUAAGUCCCGCAACGAGCGCAACCCUUAUUGUUAGUUGCCAUCAUUAAGUUGGGCACUCUAGCGAGACUGCCGGUAAUAAACCGGAGGAAGGUGGGGAUGACGUCAAAUCAUCAUGCCCCUUAUGACCUGGGCUACACACGUGCUACAAUGGUUGGUACAACGAGUCGCAAGACAGUGAUGUCAAGCUAAUCUCUUAAAGCCAAUCUCAGUUCGGAUUGUAGGCUGCAACUCGCCUACAUGAAGUCGGAAUCGCUAGUAAUCGCGGAUCAGCACGCCGCGGUGAAUACGUUCCCGGGCCUUGUACACACCGCCCGUCACACCACGAGAGCUUGUAAUACCCAAAGCCGGUGAGCUAACCUUUUAGGAGGCAGCCGUCUAAGGUAGGAUAGAUGAUUGGGGUGAAGUCGUAACAAGGUAGC